UGAGUUGCGCUGCUUAAAAUUCUUAUUUUAGAUAUAUUUAAAACAUAUUCAAAAAUGAUAUUUUGAAUACUCUGGUGAUUUGCAGAUAUCUCACCACAUGUGAUUUUUUAUUAUUAUACAAUACAAGCUCAAGGAUUUAUUCACAAGACAAUGAUAAUAGUUUACUUAAGUUAUUUGUUAAAGUAAUAAUUAUUUCAACGUAUAUUUACAUAUUUAACAUUUAUGAUUAUUAUUUGACAGCUAAGGUAUGGUUCAUAGGGAUUUAAUAAGGUCUGGUUAGUUUUAGUGAUGUACUUUGACGUAUUAUUUAAUUGAUUAUAAAAUAUUUACAAACUAAAGCAACAGGAGUUUAUUGGUAGCCGGACGUUAUAGCAAAAAGACCUUAAAGAAAACGCAAACUUUUUGGAAUUUUUUAUUUAUUUACGGAACUUAGUUUUUAUCAUUUCUAUUAAAAGGUCGCAACAGGUUGAUAUUAUAUUAAUAAUACAAUUUUUUUUCUCAUUUGUUUCAAUAAAUCUUUUUUCAAUUGAUUUGGGUUUUUAGUUUAGGGUAGAGCGGGGUUAGUUGAGCAUAGGGGCAAGUUGGGCAGUUAAAAUAUCUCAAAAACUACAUAUCACAUGACAAAACAUCUAAUCGAUGAAAGUUAGAGAAUUAGUAUUGUUAACACAAUACGCAACAAAAAAUUGAUGAAAAGCUAUUGAGUAAGAUAAACGGACAAUUUUUCUAUUUUUGACCAAAAAAGUAAAAAAUAAAUUUUUUGCUAUUUUUCUACUGUAUGCUUUUAAAAUUUUUUUUAUCUGCCAUCACUUAAGUGUUGAUAGUUUACCAAUUUAUCGAACUUUUAAUUAAAUUUAACUGUUUUUUCUUAAGUCUUUUAGUUUUUUUAAAAACCUAACUAAUGCGUCACCUUGUCUAGUAGGUGUAAGUUGAGCAGCUUUGAGAAAAAUAAAUAAAGCUGAAAUUUCAAACACAAAGAAACAACUUUGAUAUGAAAUAAUAGAGCGGUACAUUUUUUAUAUAUAUUUUUAGAGUUAGUAAUUUUUAUAUUGGGUUUCAAAGUUCAAGAUAAUUGUAUAAAAAUAUAUUUUUAUAGUUAAACACUUUUAUAUUAUUUAAUUUUUUUUCUCUUUUUUGACGUCAUUAAAAUGUAUAAAAUAAAAAGUUAAUAAACUAUACACACGCUUACUGUUA